rnacentral:lncRNA from 1 species
CUCACUAACUAAUCCCCAAGAGUUUAUUAAAGAGUAUUACAGCCUGAAAAAAAGAAUACAUCUGAAAAAUGCAAAAAGAAGUACAACUAGGGGAAGCCUGAUUCUGACCUCCUCACUGAGUUAAGAGGUAAACCAACUCCAAGAGAUCAUGAUCCAAAACCUUUCUCCCAUUUGAAUGUGUCAAAGUUGCCUAUGAGCCUCAAUGGGACUCCGGGUAAUGCUCACACCCAAAUGUAUUACUAGAACAAGGACAAGUGUAGUGUGGAAAGGCCAGCCCAUAAGUGUCCAAGUUAAGAGGGAGCUCAAACGGUCCCAAGGCAAGGCUCACAAGAAGGGGAAGAACUUAAACACUAAGAGAGACUGCAAGCAGAAACAAAAUUCUAAAAUGGGGAAAAGAGAGGUAAACAGUUACAAAUAAGUACACAUAAGGGGGUUCUGUGGAAUAGGGAGAUUGUAAAGAGCCUAUUGCUUAUGAAAGGACAAGAUUUAGGCAUGCCCAGCAAUGGAGGAUGCUAGCAUACCCAUAAGCCCGCUAGAACACAUAUUAUUAGAGGCUAGGAUCCUAGAGGAUCAUGUUUGAAUCAUGAACAAUAAUUCGCAGUAUUGCCAUACUUCAAAACAAUAGUUAAAACACAUUAGGGGGCAGGGGUUUGGGAUUCAUAAUAGAACAGGCAGAAAGAAAUCAAUAGUAUUGAACCACACAGAACCAGUAAGCAGACAGAGAUACAAAAGCAACAAAUAAACACCUUGUUGUGGUGCUAAAAAGCUUAAAUCAGGACAUACUAGUUUCAAAGAAGCAAAUAGAGAGAAAGCAAGCAACAUGUCUUGUAAACAGGCCACAAUACAAGCAACAAGAGACAAUACAUUUGAAUGUAAGUGUAAGUUCAGAAGACUACGAGUAAUGGUAGUUUCUGCUAAUGAAAGAGUCCUGUAUUUAUAGUGUGAAAAAUUGGAAGAAAUAGGGUAAGAAAAAAAUUAAGGAACUGGUAUCAAUUAAAAUCAAUUAGUACAAGACUUCCUUUAAUUACUGAAUUUAGACUUAAACGGUAAUGAGCAAGAAAGUUAUUUAAGGAAAGAGAUCAAACAAGCAUCUUGCACAAAGUAGGCAAUUAGGGGUAAAUACAUAGGAGUUUAUUUUGGGGAAGAGUUUGAAAUACACGAUCAAAACAAAAUAAGGUAAAAAUCAAUUAGUACCUAGUAAAUCAGGGGUCAGAGAUUUUGUAAUCACUGGUCCAUGAAUGAAUCAAGUCAUAAAAGCUAAGAAAAGUUUUUGACUCAUAUCGAGUAAUAGGGAAGUCAGCAAAGAAGGAACGAAAUCAAUCAAACUUACACAAAGAAAGUCCGAAAACAAUCUAAAUUGAAAACUAUUUUUAGAGGGAAGUUCAGUACAUAUAAAGAGCGCACAAAUAUGCUAGGCUAAAUUUAGGGCAAAGAAAAAUGUCAUGCC